GCCUCCUCGAGCUCGCUCUCGCGUUUUCCCGGCGGAAUCGAGCCCGCGCCGCCCGGCCGCCAUUGACGCCGCCGCGAGGAGCUCCGUCGGCCGCCGUCGAUUCGCCGUCUCCGGGCCGUUGGCGCAGCCCUCCGCCCGCCGCCGCUGUUCGUCGUCGCGCCGCCCCGUCGUCGCUCCUCUCCGCCCGUGCCGUUGUUGGUGAGCUUUGCCGUCGCCUGGAACAUGCCUUGCGCGCGCCUCCGGCCCCUCUCCAGCCCUGCUUCGCCGCGCCGCCGUCCGCCGCGUCGCGCGCGUCGUGGGUCUGUUCGUGGACACGAAGAAGAUGAACAGUGUGACUGAACCGUCGGAGAACGAACCCGUUGAGCCUGCCGAGUCCGUCGAGCCUGAACCCG